UAGACACAUUUUUAUCAUUCACUUGGUUCUUGUGUGUUUGAUUUCCAUUGAGGUCAAUAUCAUGCUGGUCUAAUUACAAAAAGUAAGCAUAAACACCGCUAAGAUAAGGUAUAUUCUUGGAUGUAGAUUGGCUUCAGUGCGCCUCAAGGAUGUGGAAAGACAACACUAGUAUUUGCAUUAGAAUAUCUGUUUAAAAUCACAGGGAGGUAAGUUGCAUCAUGAUAUUUUGUUUCCUCUAUGGAACGGAAAUGACCAAAAUUAUGCUGAACAUGCGUAAUCAGGAAAGCUGCUACACCUUCCUCUAUGGAACGGAAAUGACCAAAAUUUUGCUGAACAUGCGUAAUCAGGAAAGCUGCUACACUAUCCAUUGAUGAUUUUUAUUUAACAGCAGAGGAACAGGUAAGUGUUUCAUGAGUUUGUGUUCUGCUAUUUUGUUUUCGUGUAUUAUCAUUAAUGC
rnacentral:lncRNA from 1 species